CCCCGCCUUCGAUUUCGAUUUUUUUGUGCUGAUCAGACUUCAAUCACAAAUGAAAUUACUAAAGUGGAGACUACAUUAAAUGGAUCUUGUCCACUGUUAAAGCAUAACAUCUUUUUAAAAAGGCCUUCUAUUUCUUCUCACACUGAUUUGCCUGUAACAGUAAGUGCAAGUACAGCAGUCACUGUAGCACCCCAACAACAACUAGAUCAAACAAAACUCAAUGAUGUUCUGGAAGUUCUAAAAUCAUUUGAUACUACAAAUUGGUACAAGCUAGGACUUAAUUUGGGACUUCAUUCAGUGACACUGAAUACUUUUACGAAAGAAGAUCAACUGACAAAGACAAUUGAGGUUUGGUUAAAGCUUGCAGAUGGUGUUAAGGAUAAAGGAGGAGCUACUUGGGAAAAUUUGAUAAAAGCUGUUGCAGCUACUAAUGAUAAUGCUACAGCUGACACAAUUCGCAAGACAUUUUGUAACUAAAAAUAGUUUAAAGUUAUAAUAUUCUUUUAAUAACAAUGAUUGGCAUUUAUCUUUGU